rnacentral:rRNA from 1 species
UACCUGACCUAGCGGCGGACGGGUGAGUAAUGCUUAGGAAUCUGCCUAUUAGUGGGGGACAACAUUCCGAAAGGAAUGCUAAUACCGCAUACGCCCUACGGGGGAAAGCAGGGGAUCUUCGGACCUUGCGCUAAUAGAUGAGCCUAAGUCAGAUUAGCUAGUUGGUGGGGUAAAGGCCUACCAAGGCGACGAUCUGUAGCGGGUCUGAGAGGAUGAUCCGCCACACUGGGACUGAGACACGGCCCAGACUCCUACGGGAGGCAGCAGUGGGGAAUAUUGGACAAUGGGCGAAAGCCUGAUCCAGCCAUGCCGCGUGUGUGAAGAAGGCCUUUUGGUUGUAAAGCACUUUAAGCGAGGAGGAGGCUACUUAGAUUAAUACUCUAGGAUAGUGGACGUUACUCGCAGAAUAAGCACCGGCUAACUCUGUGCCAGCAGCCGCGGUAAUACG